GUCCAGGGUAGCCUAGUGGUCAUGGCAUCUGCCCUGUAAGCGGAAGGUCGUGGGUUCGAUUCCCAUCCCAUCCC
rnacentral:tRNA from 1 species